CAGAAAGAAUGUGCAGAGAAGUCGAAAGAAAACAUCACUUCAUUCCAAAAGACCCAAUGAAUGUCAAGAGAUUCAGAUCAACCAGUUCCAGGAUCCAAAUGAUCCACUCAGAAUUCAUCUAGGAAGAACCAAUCGCUCUAGUACAUUUUCUUCUAAUGUGGAUGUAUUUCUGUUUUUUCCUCUUUUCAAGGUUGUUGCUUGGUAAAUACCCUAACUGCAUCCCCUCCUAACCACACUCUGAUACUCUGAUGCAUUCUGAAUUCUCACCUGAAUGGAGUUUCAGUCAGCAUUGCAGAGGGAGUGAGAAGAGGAAGAAUUCUUACCAGUUUUUCAUUCCAUUAGUAGUAUAAACCCUUGGGGAGCAAACCUCCAGAGGGCUGUGCAUGUGUGAGACCUCUUUCUCUUGCAGAGAAUUUCAGAGAAAGGGAGAAAUCUCAGAUUAAAGGAAUGCAUGGUGGUAGAGGAAAGAUGAGCUAAUGGUUGGGGUCAGGAGAGGAACCAAAGGAUAGUGAUCAGACUAGGAACUAAGGACCAAGAAAACAGAAAGGGACCAAUACCAUGAAGAGUCUCUUGAGUGAUUUUCUGUAACAUGAAGCUUUAGCUUCCAAGUCUUUCUUUCUAUAGCUUUAUUUCUGAACCUUCACCUUCUGACUGGAGUCCCGUUGAAGCCUCUACUUUAAAUCUGAGUUUUUGUUUUUGUUUUUUUCUUUUGUUGUUUUUGAGUUGAGUUGAUAACUGCUGUUCCAAUGCAGGUGGACUGUCCCUAGUACUCCAAAUUGUAAUCCUGAAUGCCUUUCCCCAGAGGGAUGUUAUUACACAUGGUGGUUAGGUUGUAGACUAACAUUAGUACAGUUUAUCAUGGAAUAGAUAAGGAUUUUGAAGCUUGAUCUGGUAACAAAAAUAAAGGAUCUGGUGAUAUAGAGAUACA
rnacentral:lncRNA from 1 species